rnacentral:rRNA from 1 species
AGCGAACGCUGGCGGCAGGCCUAACACGUGCAAGUCGAACGAACCCUUCGGGGUUAGUGGCGGACGGGUGAGUAACACGUGGGAACGUGCCUUUAGGUUCGGAAUAACUCAGGGAAACUUGUGCUAAUACCGAAUGUGCCCUUCGGGGGAAAGAUUUAUCGCCUUUAGAGCGGCCCGCGUCUGAUUAGCUAGUUGGUGAGGUAUUGGCUCACCAAGGCUACGAUCAGUAGCUGGUCUGAGAGGAUGACCAGCCACAUUGGGACUGAGACACGGCCCAAACUCCUACGGGAGGCAGCAGUGGGGAAUCUUGCGCAAUGGGCGAAAGCCUGACGCAGCCAUGCCGCGUGGAUGAUGAAGGUCUUAGGAUUGUAAAAUCCUUUCACCGGUGAAGAUAAUGACUGUAGCCGGAGAAGAAGCCCCGGCUAACUUCGUGCCAGCCGCCGCGGUAAUAC